CGAAAUGCGAUAAGUAGUGUGAAUUGCAGAAUUCAGUGAAUCAUCGAAUCUUUGAACGCACCUUGCG
rnacentral:rRNA from 3 species